CGCGGUUGUGUUCCACUUCGCGUUUGGCACAACGCACAUGCACACAACUGCUAUUUCUUCUCCCCGGGCUGUGUUGAAACCCCUCCCUAUCCCAUCCCCUAUCCGAUCCCGCCUUUUCCCCUUGUCCUUGCUGAGGUGCGUGCAUAUACGAAGGCGUGGCCUGGCUUGUAGCCCCGUACGCGUACCAACGAAGCAGAGGUGUUCUGCCUGAGGAUUUGCAUGGAUAUCUUCAUUAAUUAUCUACGGCUGUGCCUUGCAGAGGUGAAAAGGGUGUUGGCGUGUGUGUGUGUGUGUGCGGCCGCGGCGGCCCCUGCUCUUGCUUUCCAGGAAGGGUUGCCGUGCGCACGUGCCGCCACCCAGUGAGGUGGGGGCAAUCAUUGCAUGCGACACUCGUCCGGGGCGUCGUCGCACAGAAUACGCAAAUGAGAGGCAACCCAG
rnacentral:misc_RNA from 1 species